ensembl:lncRNA
CGUGAAGAAGUCCUCAAGGAGAAUUCCCUUCCAGGUAGACGUGAAGAAAUCCACAGAAGGGCAGGUGAUGGGCAGGUGAUGGGCAGGUGAAGGGCAGGUGAUGGGCAGGUGAUGGGCUUGUCAGAUGUACAAUGUACAUUGUAGAGAGAAAACUGUCACCGAUCAAAAGGGCAGGUUCUCCAGCACCCCUACAGCCCAAUCUGUGCACGUGCCUGGGUGAAGGACAGCUUUCCCUCCAUAUAGAGAGGCUCCUGAACCACCCCUCCCCCCAAAAAGAUGAGAUCAAAUCAAACAAUUUAAUCAAAUGUGUAUCUACAGUAUAAAUAAAGCCAUUUUUACAUCAACAGACAGAUAAAAUGUUGCGGGGAGUGUGUUAGAUAUCAUUUAUAAAUGCCAAAGAAAACAGCAACAUGAAUUAAGACAAACUAAAUCAUGUAAAAGUCUCUCACCAUCUCUUUCCUCGUCUUCAUCUCGAUCUUCAUGCCCCCAGUCUUCCUCACUGUGUUGGUCAUAUUCACUGGGAUCAUGGCUGUACUGGGGAAUCAGCACAUGGUGAAGCCUGUCCUGUCUGGUCACAACGUUAUGAAUUAUUAAUAACAUCAAACAUUUAUAUUAUUAUUAUUAUUUUUAUUAUUAUUAUUAUUAUUUUUUUUUUUUUUUUUACAUAUCUUUGGUACCAGGAAUCGAAACCACUAUCCUGACAUUGCAAACAUCAUAUUGUACUAACUGAGCUACAGAGAACAUAUGUUAUCAAGACCAUGAUACAGGGAAAAAAAACAGACUAGCCAUCAAUUAAGGCACCACUCACUCACAACUGUCCGUGAUGAAACUCAUUUCAUUUUCCUUCCUAUGUAAACGACCUGGAAGAGUGAAGAACAACACAAAGUGUUUGUGAUGCCGUACGACACCGAGGUUGAAAUAGCAUGUCAAACAAAACCAACCAAGUCCUCUCCUCUCGCCCGUCCCCCAGUGACAAGUAUGGCUGAAUUCCAGACGGACCCCUAGCCGCUACUCUUUAG